GACGAACGCUGGCGGCGUGCUUAACACAUGCAAGUCGAACGGAAAGGCCCUGCUUUUGUGGGGUGCUCGAGUGGCGAACGGGUGAGUAACACGUGAGUAACCUGCCCUUGACUUUGGGAUAACUUCAGGAAACUGGGGCUAAUACCGGAUAGGAGCUCCUGCUGCAUGGUGGGGGUUGGAAAGUUUCGGCGGUUGGGGAUGGACUCGCGGCUUAUCAGCUUGUUGGUGGGGUAGUGGCUUACCAAGGCUUUGCCGGGUAGCCGGCCUGAGAGGGUGACCGGCCACAUUGGGACGGAGAUACGGCCCAGACUCCUACGGGAGGCAGCAGUGGGGAAUAUUGCACAAUGGGCGGAAGCCUGAUGCAGCAACGCCGCGUGCGGGAUGACGGCCUUCGGGUUGUAAACCGCUUUCGCCUGUGACGAAGCGUGAGUGACGGUAAUGGGUAAAGAAGCACCGGCUAACUACGUG
rnacentral:rRNA from 1 species